CGCGUAGGCGGUGAAACAAGUCACAUGUGAAAUACCAGGGCUCAACCUUGGGGGGUCAUGUGAAACUGUAUUACUUGAGUGCAGUAGAGGAGAGCGGAAUUCCUGGUGUAGCGGUAAAAUGCGUAGAGAUCAGGAGGAACACCGGUGGCGAAGGCGGCUCUCUGGGCUGUAACUGACGCUGAGGCGCGAAAGCGUGGGGAGCAAACAGGAUUAGAUACCCUGGUAGUCCACGCUGUAAACGAUGAAUACUAGGUGUAGGGGACGCAGGUCUUCUGUGCCGGAGCAAACGCAAUAAGUAUUCCGCUGGGGAGUACGACCGCAAGGUUGAA
rnacentral:rRNA from 1 species